rnacentral:rRNA from 1 species
UAAAAGUCGUAACAAGGUUUCCGUAGGUGAACCUGCGGAAGGAUCAUUAACCGUUACAAACAGUGUGUGCUGCGGCCCCCGAGGUGAGGCAACGAGCCUUCGGGAGGUCUGGGGUCCGCCCCUUCACGCGCACGCGUCUGCCAUCCUUACUUUACGAGCACCUUCUGUUCUCCCUCGGCAUGCGUCCUGCGCUGCCGUUGGAAUUACAAAACUCUUUUUUGCAUCUAGCAUUACCUGUUCCGACAAUAACAAUCGUUACAACUUUCAACAAUGGAUCUCUUGGCUCUGGCAUCGAUGAAGAACGCAGCGAAAUGCGAUAAGUAGUGUGAAUUGCAGAAUUCAGUGAAUCAUCGAAUCUUUGAACGCACAUUGCGCCCCUCGGUAUUCCGUGGGGCAUGCCUGUUCGAGCGUCAUCUACACCCUCAAGCUCUGCUUGGUGUUGGGCGUCUGUCCCGCCUCGGCGCGCGGACUCGCCCCAAAUGCAUUGGCAGCGGUCUUUGCCUCCUCUCGCGCAGCACAUUGCGCUUCUCGAGGUGUCGCGGACACGCGUCCAGUAAGCAACAUUUACCGUCUUUGACCUCGGAUCAGGUAGGGAUACCCGCUGAACUUA